rnacentral:rRNA from 1 species
GAUGAACGCUGGCGGCGUGCCUAAUACAUGCAAGUCGAGCGAAGCGGGGACGGGUGAGUAACACGUGGAUAACCUCCUAUAAGACUGGGAUAACUUCGGGAAACCGGAGCGAAAUCGGAUAUUUAUAGAUGGAUCCGCCCUGCAUUAGCUGGUUGGUAAGGUAACGGCGUACCAAGGCAACGACGCAUAGCCGACCUGAGAGGGUGUUCGGCCACACUGGAACGGAGACACGGCCCAGACUCCUACGGGAGGCAGCAGUAGGGAAUCUUCCGCAAUGGGCGAAAGCCUGACGGAGCAACGCCGCGUGAGUGAUGAAGGUCUUCGGAUCGUAAAACUCUGUUAUUAGAGAAGCGGUACCUAAUCAGAAAGCCACGGCUAACUACGUGCCAGCCGCCGCGGUAAUAC